rnacentral:rRNA from 1 species
AGUUGGUGAGGUAAUGGNUCACCAAGGCGACGAUCCNUAACUGGUCUGAGAGGAUGAUCAGUCACACUGGAACUGANACACGGUCCAGACUCCUACGGGAGGCAGCAGUGGGGAAUAUUGGACAAUGGGCGAAAGCNUGAUCCAGCCAUGCCGCGUGUGUGAAGAAGGUCUNCGGAUUGUAAAGCACUUUAAGUUGGGAGGANGGGNAGUAAAUUAAUACUUUGCUGUUCUGACGUUACCGACAGAAUAAGCACC